GAUGAACGCUAGCGAUAGGCCUAACACAUGCAAGUCGAGGGGCAGCACAUGAGUAGCAAUACGAUGGUGGCGACCGGCGCACGGGUGAGUAACACGUAUGCAACCUACCUCUAACAGGGGGAUAACCCGUUGAAAGACGGACUAAUACCCCAUAAUACAGGGGCUCCGCAUGGAGAUAUUUGUUAAAGAUUUUAUCGGUUAGAGAUGGGCAUGCGUUCCAUUAGCUAGUUGGUGAGGUAACGGCUCACCAAGGCGACGAUGGAUAGGGGAACUGAGAGGUUUAUCCCCCACACUGGAACUGAGACACGGUCCAGACUCCUACGGGAGGCAGCAGUGAGGAAUAUUGGUCAAUGGAGGCAACUCUGAACCAGCCAAGUCGCGUGAAGGAUGAAGGUCUUAUGGAUUGUAAACUUCUUUUGCAGGGGAAUAAAUAGCGGUACGUGUACCGUUUGCAUGUACCCUGACGAAUAAGGAUCGGCUAACUCCGUGCCAGCAGCCG
rnacentral:rRNA from 1 species